AAACUUUCAACAACGGAUCUCUUGGCUCUGGCAUCGAUGAAGAACGCGGCGAAAUGCGAUAAGUAAUGCGAAUUGCAGAAUUCAGUGAAUCAUCGAAUCUUUGAACGCACAUUGCGCCC
rnacentral:rRNA from 1 species